UUUUGUUCGUUUUACGUAAUGUGACGCUGAAAAAUAUAAAUGUAUCAUUAUUGAAUAUUUUUCCUGUAGACAUUGUUUGAAAUGAUGUAUCAGUUUAUGUUCUCUUCAAUAAUUUGGAUAACGAUUUUACACAAAGCAAUCGGUACAGAAUGUGUGAAGUGUGCAGAAUGUAGUAUACCACCACAAAUCCAAUUUUAUCUACCAGAUUAUGAGAAAAAGUGUAUCAACUCAGAGUGUAACAACGCAACGUCGGCAACAAAUGCAACAAAUGUAAUGUUUGGUCCAUGUCCAAACGAUCCAACUGACCAUCGAAUAAACAGAUGUGGCACUCUCCGUGGAAGUGUUAAACUUUCCGUGUUAUCUUUCGGAGGUCAUGUAGACACAGUGACGUUUUAUUUAAGAGAUUGUUUUGCGGUGAAGAAAAACACAAAGUCUGGAUGUUACACAGAUCGGAAUAUGUUAAAUGACCAGAAAGCUGUCAUUGAAAAGAAAUUUGCAUAUGAUCUUAAAAGACGUAAAACACAAGUUGGAGAUAUACAAAAUGGACAGUUCUGUAUCAAUCACAGUGGUACCAAUAAGUCUUGCACAUUAAUGUAUUCAUCAUUAUUGUUUCUAAUCAUCUUAAUGCUGGCACUACUUAUUACAUAAACAAUCUAUAUACUAAAUUUUACAUAUGAAGCUUAGGAGUAAUAAAAAUA